AUUGAACGCUGGCGGCAGGCCUAACACAUGCAAGUCGAACGGUAACAGGAAGCAGCUUGCUGCUUCGCUGACGAGGGGCGGAAGGGUGAGUAAUGACUGGGAAGCCGCCUGCUGGAGGGGGAGAACUACUGGAAACGGUAUCUAAUACCGCAUAAAGUCGCAAGCCCACAGAGGGGGACCUUCGGGCCUCUUGCCAUCGGAUGUGCCCAGAUGGGAUUAGCUUGUUGGUGGGGUGACGGCUCACCAAGGCGACGAUCCCUAGCUGGUCUGAGGGGAUGACCAGCCACACUGGAACUGAGACACGGUCCAGACUCCUACGGGAGGCAGCAGUGGGGAAUAUUGCACAAUGGGCGCAAGCCUGAUGCAGCCAUGCCGCGUGUAGGAAGAAGGCCUUCGGGUUGUAAAGUACUUUCAGCGGGGAGGAAGGGAGUAAAGUUAAUACGUUGGCUCAUUGACGUUACCCGGAGAAGAAGCACCGGCUAACUACGUG
rnacentral:rRNA from 1 species